CGUAGGGAGCAAGCGUUGUUCGGAUUUACUGGGCGUAAAGGGCGCGUAGGCGGCGCGACAAGUCACUUGUGAAAUCUCCGGGCUUAACUCGGAACGGUCAAGUGAAACUGUCAUGCUAGAGUGCAGAAGGGGCAAUCGGAAUUCUUGGUGUAGCGGUGAAAUGCGUAGAUAUCAAGAGGAACACCUGAGGUGAAAGACGGGUUGCUGGGCUGACACUGACGCUGAGGCGCGAAAAGCCAGGGGAGCAAACGGGAUUAGAUACCCCGGUAGUCCUGGCCCUAAACGAUGAAUACUGGUGUCUGGAGUUAUUAUCGCUCCGGGUGCCGUCGCUAACGUUUUAAGAUUCCGCCUGGGGAGUACGCACGCAAGUGUG
rnacentral:rRNA from 1 species